UCCUGUCUCAUCCCUUUCACAUAAAACCGCCUGGAAAGGAAAUGCGACCUGGCGAAGGUUUUCUUUGGUUUAAUGCCAGCAAUUUCUGCAGGACGGUUUCCGUUGUGGUUCUUGUUAAUGGUGUGUUGUCGGGGAUUUGGGGGGAAUGGCACUGCCACUUGUGACGUUUCGGUUCCGCUUUUAGCAGGUCUUUUAGAAAUGCUAAUUGGAUUUAGCAGGCAUUGAGCACCACCCUUGGAUGGAGGUCAGGCCCAGGUCAAAGUGUUUGAGAGAAGAAAACACAGAUAAAAUAACCGCCUCACCUGCAUAAAGUUGGUACUGAAACCGAGUUUCAAAUAGAUCGCCCAAAUCAUAGGACCAGAAAAAGUGAGGCCAAGAAUCAGAGCUUGGGAUGCCCAGCUCCAGAGUGGUCUUCUUACCCAGCACCCUGUGCUGCCUUCGGGCCACCUGUUUCUAAACACUCUCAUGUUGACCGCAGUGCUCCCGCCACCUCUGGCGGAGGACUGGGUCAGAGAGGAGUAGAGCCCAGGUGUGGUUACCAUGGGACAGGCAACAGACACGGACAGCUCCAUCGUGGUGGCCACUCCAUCUGCAAAAGGAACGUUCUCAGAUCAUCCGAAUGGCCACUGUGCUGGCAGAACAAGAAGAUGAGGAGUGUGAGCACGUUGCUGACUGCCCGGUGGCAAGCCAGAAGACAGGAGGACAGAAUUGGAGGAGCCAGAAAGGUCCCUGCGGGAACAGUCCUUCCACAGAGCUGCGUGGACCAGGAGGCCACAGAGGCUGCAGAAGCAGGAAGAGAGGCCGAGGUGACUUCCUCUCAUGAUUCCUAGAACCCUUAGAACACAGAUGCCAAGAAGAUGAACUGGCUUCACAGUGAUAGACGGAUAAAAGGGAGGGCGCGGGGUUCUGGUGUGAAGUAUAUCGAGGUCACUCUUGGCCAACCAGAGGGGAACUUGUCCUGUCGAAUUAUGUAACAGGGGAGUGAGUUGGGAGGCCCUUUGAGGAACCAGAAGACUCAGUUGGCACUGAGUUGGUCUGGGAGACUUGCCACCGAAAGACCCAGGGGCCAGGGCCAAAGGGAGGGGGAUGGAGGUCUGAGUGGGUCUCAUACUUGCUUUGUGGACUUCUGGGAAGUCUUUGAAAACAUUUCAAUUUAAACUGCGUGCCUUAAGAGGACUCUCCAUUCACAUCCAACAUCGCACACUCAUAUUAAGAAAUAUAAACGAUGAGAACA